rnacentral:rRNA from 1 species
AGAACGAACGCUGGCGGCGCGCCUAAUACAUGCAAGUCGAGCGAGAAGGUGUAGCAAUACACUUGUAAAGCGGCGAACGGGUGAGGAAUACAUGGGUAACCUACCAUCGAGUGGGGAAUAACCAGCCGAAAGGUUGGCUAAUACCGCGUACGCCUCCAAAUCUUCGGAUUCGGAGGGAAAGCCACACUGUGAGUGUGGCGCUCUUUGAUGGGCUCAUGUCCUAUCAGCUUGUGGUAGGUAACGCCUACCAAGGCUUUGACGGUAGCUGGUCUGAGAGGACGGUCAGCCACACUGGCACUGCGACACGGGCCAGACUCCGUACGGGAGGCAGGCAGGUAAAGGAUAUUGCGACAAUGGGGACGAAAAGCCUGGAACGCAGGCCGACGGCCGCGGUGGGGGAUGGAAGGUCUUUCGGAUUUACGGUAAACCCCCCGUUUGGGAAGGAAGAGUGGACGAGCAAGUCGUUCGGACGUACUCCAGAGCAGACCGACGACCGACUUCGUGCCAGCCAGCCG